CAGCGACGUAAGUUCUUGAAACGUACCUAAUAAUUCGAUGUAAUUGAUGAUUAACCGCAUUAUCACACCAUAUCAACGCAUUAUUACAUCAAUCGCCAUGAGAUUCGAUCGAGAAAAAUCAUGACCAAGCUACGUAAAUAAAACAUAAAAUUAACCACAUUCUCCGAUAAUAAUACACUCAAAAUUCUGCACGUUCACAAUAAAAUAUAAUAUUACCGAAAUCGACGUAAUAUUGCUUUAAAAAGUAUGGAACGAGCACGCCGCAGUAAUAGCAGCAACUGACAGUCGGCCAUGUUUUGAUUUUCUGUUUGCACCGAACGACGGGUGGCGGUCAAACAUUUUCAAUUUAAUUAGUGAAUUAUUAGUGCUCAUUGCUGCUGACAUACCGUAGCUUGGGCUUCAUAAAGGUGCCCAUUCAUUAAUCCUCAUCGGACAGAGAAAAACAGACCUGCAGAUAGAAUAAACAAGUGCGUCAACUCGCGAGCUUCCUUCAAGUGCUCAUCAAAAUACGUUCCAUCAGUUGGAAAUGAAUUAUUUAUUUACACAGAAUCGGGAGCACACUGGACCAGCAAGGCAAAGUAGUUGAAUCAUCACAGGACAUCAAGAACAUUCUUUUCGAGGAAUCGAGCGGUUUCACCGGUAAGAUCGUACGGGAAUGUUUCGCUGGCAUUAGGUAUACCCAAACGAAAACCAGAUAAUCCGUCGCGCGAAUGCAGCAAUAUUCCAUCCAUAAAUAACGUAACGCUUAGAGGGGAAGGGUGGUUGCCCAAAGUGUGACAAUCCAUACAAAAUUUUAAGAUGCUUCAUACAAAAAGUUUG